UACGUAGGGUGCGAGCGUUGUCCGGAAUUACUGGGCGUAAAGAGCUCGUAGGUGGUUUGUCGCGUUGUCCGUGAAAACUCACAACUCAAUUGUGGGCGUGCGGGCGAUACGGGCAGACUGGAGUACUGCAGGGGAGACUGGAAUUCCUGGUGUAGCGGUGGAAUGCGCAGAUAUCAGGAGGAACACCGAUGGCGAAGGCGGGUCUCUGGGCCGAUACUGACGCUGAGGAGCGAAAGCGUGGGGAGCGAACAGG
rnacentral:rRNA from 1 species